rnacentral:rRNA from 1 species
GAAGGGGGCUAGCGUUGCUCGGAAUUACUGGGCGUAAAGGGAGCGUAGGCGGAUAGUUUAGUCAGAGGUGAAAGCCCAGGGCUCAACCUUGGAAUUGCCUUUGAUACUGGCUAUCUUGAGUACGGAAGAGGUAUGUGGAACUCCGAGUGUAGAGGUGAAAUUCGUAGAUAUUCGGAAGAACACCAGUGGCGAAGGCGACAUACUGGUCCGUUACUGACGCUGAGGCUCGAAAGCGUGGGGAGCAAACAGGAUUAGAUACCCUGGUAGUCCACGCUGUAAACGAUGAGUGCUAGUUGUCGGCAGGCAUGCCUGUCGGUGACGCAGCUAACGCAUUAAGCACUCCGCCUGGGGAGUACGGUCGCAAGAUUAAA